GAGCUGAUAGAGACCUGCGCUUUGACGAGUUGCGGCUGUUCUAUGUGGGCAGUUUGCAACUGUCUAUUGCUGGAGCACAAGGGCUGCAGGUUGGCUUGGAGACAGCACUGCUUGACAGAAGAUACCCUGCUUUCCUAAUGCCCGCAAAAGUACAAGGCCCAACAGUGUGAACUUCCUGGACCUGCUUUACACUUGAUGCAAUCCUGGCCUUAGUAGAGAGGCCUGGCAAGUGGAGCUGGAGGUCUUGGAUAGAGGAGAACAUGGACACUGUGGUGCCAGCAUUCCUCAGGCUUUGAUCCUUGGACCAGCUUGAUCCUGCAUUCUUACAUUAGUGGGUGAUAGCACUGAACUUCCAGAAGCAGUGGUCUUCAUUUCAUCUGGCAAAUGCUUGUAAAGUGGGUUCUGCCCUUAUAAGUAAAGAACAGAGGAGCCAAAGGUUGGCUUGGAGUACUCAGAGACAGCACUGCUUGACAGAAGAUACCCUGCAAUCCUAAUGUCCUCAAAAGUACAACACCCAAGAGUAUGAACUUCCUUGAGCUGCUUUGCACUUGAUGCAAUCCUGGUCUAAGUAGAGAGGCCUUGCAAGUGGAGUUGGAGGUCUUGGGUAGAGGAGAACAUGGACUCGGUGGAGCCAGCAUUCCUCAGAUGCAGCCCGAUGGUUCCCAAACUGGCAUUUCGAGAAGCUGACUUCUACCUUCGGCUCCCAGUAUCAGUGAGAUAAUUACCGUGUAUCCGAAGCUGCUUUAUUUCAUAAUAAGGAAGGUGGGCCUGGAUAACCACAGAAGAGGAAAACUCCUGCAGAAAAUGUUGUCAGAACCUGUAUUCUUAAGAGAUGUUCUCAGCAAUGUACAGUAAACUUUGCAACUUGGAAAUGCAUUUUUCCAUGAGUGAAUCUAUGAAAGUUGUUUCAGAAUUUAAAGUUCAGUGACACAGUGGUUACUCCACGUACCUUUGGCAACAUGUUAUGGAAAACUUGAAGGACUGGCAAGAUGGCUCAGCAGGUAAAGCUGUUUGACACCAAAAUCUGACCUCCUGUAUUCCAUCACCAAAUUUAACUGUGACACAGAAGGACUAACUUCAGAGAGUUGACCUCUGAACUUCCCACUCAUGCUGUGGGUUUUGUGUGCCAACACUCACACACAUAGUUGCCUACUUCAGUCAAUGCCAGUGUGCUUUUAGAGCUAACAUCUUGCUACAUUUGAGAAGGUUUCUUUUGUUUGCUGCCUUGAAGUCUUCAAGCUGUCUUAUGGAAGACUGAAGAAUAUUUUCAUACAGAAAUUCAAGAAUAAGCUUCAGUUAUUAAACAAUGAGUAUCUGAAAAUC